rnacentral:rRNA from 1 species
GAUGAACGCUAGCGGCAGGCUUAAUACAUGCAAGUCGUGGGGCAGCAGGGGUAGCAAUACCCGCUGGCGACCGGCAAACGGGUGCGGAACACGUACGCAACCUUCCUUUAACUGGAGAAUAGCCCCUCGAAAGAGGGAUUAAUACUCCGUAACAUAUUGAUAAGGCAUCUUAUUAAUAUUAUAGCUCCGGCGGUUAAAGAUGGGCGUGCGACUGAUUAGAUAGUUGGCGGGGUAACGGCCCACCAAGUCUGCGAUCAGUAACUGGUGUGAGAGCACGACCAGUCACACGGGCACUGAGACACGGGCCCGACUCCUACGGGAGGCAGCAGUAAGGAAUAUUGGUCAAUGGACGCAAGUCUGAACCAGCCAUGCCGCGUGGAGGAUUAA